rnacentral:snRNA from 1 species
AGCUUUACGCAGUGGCAGUAUCGUAGCUAAUGAGGUUUAUCCGAGGCGCGAUUAUUGCUAAUUGAAAUUAAGAGACAGAAA